rnacentral:tRNA from 1 species
GCUUCCGUAGCAUAGUGGUGGUAUUGAAAGGUCGCGAGUUCAAUCCUCGCCGGGAGCU